rnacentral:rRNA from 1 species
GACGAACGCUGGCGGUGUGCUUAACACAUGCAAGUCGAACGGUAAGGCCCUUUCGGGGGUACACGAGUGGCGAACGGGUGAGUAACACGUGAGUAACCUGCCCUCAUCUCUUGGAUAACAGUCGGAAACGGUUGCUAAUACUGGAUAUGAGCUUGCAAUGCAUCUUGUGGGUUGGAAAGAUUUUUUUGGUUGGGGAUGGACUCGCGGCCUAUCAGCUUGUUGGUGAGGUAGUGGCUCACCAAGGCUUCGACGGGUAGCCGGCCUGAGAGGGCGACCGGCCACAUUGGGACUGAGAUACGGCCCAAACUCAUACGGGAGGCAGCAGUGGGGAAUAUUGAACAAUGGACGGAAGUCUGAUGCAGCAACGCCGCGUGCGGGAGGACGGCCUUCGGGUUGUAAACCGCUUUCAAUUGUGACGAAGCUUUUUGUGACGGUAGCAGUAGAAGAAGCACCGGCUAACUACGUG